rnacentral:tRNA from 1 species
UAGCUCAGUUGGGAGAGCACCUGCUUUGCACGCAGGGGGUCAGCGGUUCGAGUCCGCUUGCCUCCA